rnacentral:ncRNA from 2 species
UAGCUAACGCGGGGGUCCUGCGUGGCGCCAUUCGAAACACGGCGCUUCGCGGGUGAGAAAUACCCUUUGAACCUGAUCUGGAUAAUGCCAGCGCAGGGAAGCGUACAGGCCUCGACC